AGUAAUAUAUCGGAACGUGCCCUAGAGUGUGGGAUAACUAGUCGAAAGACUAGCUAAUACCGCAUACGAUCUACGGAUGAAAGUGGGGGAUCGCAAGACCUCAUGCUCCUGGAGCGGCCGAUAUCUGAUUAGCUAGUUGGUGGGGUAAAAGCCUACCAAGGCAACGAUCAGUAGCUGGUCUGAGAGGACGACCAGCCACACUGGGACUGAGACACGGCCCAG
rnacentral:rRNA from 1 species